UGGGAAAAGGUGACUUGGCCUGUGAGCGGAGUUUGAACCGCGGCAAUGGUUCGAUUCCCAUGCUUGCCAUCUGCAUACGCUCUGUACUCUUCUCAGUACACCUUCAGCCAGCUUAAUCUGGCGAGUCUGUAGCCUCCAGACUCACUCUGCCUUUUUACCCUUUUCUUCAAAUCAGGAGUAGAGAAGGCGUUAGUGGUCCUGGUUCAAAACCUCCCAGCAGCAGUAUGUUUUGAGCACACACCUCAGCUUUUUUGCCUCUUUUCAGCAGACCAUUUGCAGCUACACCAGUCACUACUUUACAUCCUUUCUUUUUUGGUGGAUAUACCAGUGCUUACAGCUACAUCCACCCCGGGAAAUGUGUGGUGAGGGAGAACAUCAGGACCAAGCUGCGUUUCCUUGGUCCAGAGGUUUGGAGAAAGUUCUUCCCUUUCUUUCAUCACAGCUGUCCUGUGCCAGAUGUUCUAUUGACCCACUGAGAGAGGCAUAAUUGGAGAAACAUCAGGAAGACUGAAGCUGAUCGCAGGAAUCAAGGAGGACCUCGAGAUCUUCACCACCAGCUCCCUCACAAGGAAAUCUUCCGAAGUCCACUGUAGGCACGGCCCAGAAGAUGGAUAAACCCAGCAUUUAAUGAACACACUGGAACUAAUCUAUCUUCAUAACAGAGUGUUUUUCUAAACAUGGAGAAAAAAGAUGGAAGAAACCGAUCUGACUUUCCCGUCUCCUGCCUCCGAUGAUCACUGUGACCUCAGAGGGCAACUGGUGUGCAAAGCUGGAACUGGAGUGAGGGAGAGAGGAGUCAUCAUCCAGCUUGAAAGAAAACAUCCGGCUGAUCAGCAGGAGGAGAAAAGUCUGACGGAGCAGCAGAGGAACAUUUUCAGCCGUUUGCACUCAGCUCAGCUACUACAGAGAAAAUGAUGAGCUCAACACAGAAGCCUUCUAUUUGGGAUUUUCCCCCGACAUUUCUUGGUCCUUCGAAGCCGGAUGGGACGGCCUAUUUAAAGCAUCUCCCAUAAGAAGCGGCUCAUCAGGUCCCGUCGGUGCGAGAAUCCCACGUUGAAGUCUGCCGGCAGCUCACGCACUAGAGGUGUGAUAAAAUCCAAGAGCGUGAAUUCGGGUCUUGGUCAACGUUUUACAAGCGGUCCGCACCGUCGGGGGCUGAUCAGGUGCAUCUGAAGAAACCAGCGCCAAGUAUCUUGCAGGUUGAAGCCAGGUGAUUGGGUCCUGAUUCGAGUUCUCCAUAGAAAGAAUUGGAGCUCGCCCCGCUGGGAAGGUCCCUACCAAGUGCUCAUCACCACACCAACCGCCUGUAAGAUAGCAGAGAGACCAUCUUGGAUUCACCAAAGCCACUGCAAGAAAGUGAGUGACAGCCUAGACUCAUAGACUCCAGCACCCCUACCUUCUGGUGAUCUACCUGGUGAAGAGAGGGCUGAUUGGGUAUAUCCCGCCCUCUACUUCUCGCCAGUAGUCUACUCACCCGAGGAUCUAGGUGUGCUUGGCUGUCAUGAGGACACUCGCCAUCCUAGCAGCUGUCCUCCUGCUCCUAGCAGGCUACGUUCACACUGCAGGCGAAAGCGCAUCAAAUCCGAUUUUUUUGACCCUA